GAUGAACGCUGGCGGCGUGCCUAAUACAUGCAAGCCGAGCGAACGGACGAGAAGCUUGCUUCUCUGAUGUUAGCGGCGGACGGGUGAGUAACACGUGGAUAACCUACCUAUAAGACUGGGAUAACUUCGGGAAACCGGAGCUAAUACCGGAUGAUAUUUUGAACCGCAUGGUUCAAAAGUGAAAGACGGUCUUGCUGUCACUUAUAGAUGGAUCCGCGCUGCAUUAGCUAGUUGGUAAGGUAACGGCUUACCAAGGCAACGAUGCAUAGCCGACCUGAGAGGGUGAUCGGCCACACUGGAACUGAGACACGGUCCAGACUCCUACGGGAGGCAGCAGUAGGGAAUCUUCCGCAAUGGGCGAAAGCCUGACGGAGCAACGCCGCGUGAGUGAUGAAGGUCUUCGGAUCGGAAAACUCUGUUAUUAGGGAAGAACAUAUGUGUAAGUAACUGUGCACAUCUUGACGGUACCUAAUCAGAAAGCCACGGCUAACUACGUG
rnacentral:rRNA from 1 species